rnacentral:rRNA from 1 species
UACGUAGGGGGCAAGCGUUGUCCGGAAUUAUUGGGCGUAAAGAGCACGUAGGCGGUAGUAUAAGUUGGAUGUGAAAGGCUACGGCUCAACCGUAGAGCUGCAUCCAAAACUGUAUCACUUGAGUGCAGAAGAGGAGAGUGGAAUUCCCGGUGUAGCGGUGGAAUGCGUAGAUAUCGGGAGGAACACCAGUGGCGAAGGCGACUCUCUGGUCUGUAACUGACGCUGAGGUGCGAAAGCGUGGGGAGCGAACAGG